CCCAUGCAGUACACUUGUACUCUUUAGUCAAUCAGGUUUUAGCCUGUCAGUUGACCAAUCAUAUCUCACUGUGGGUGUAUGAAUUGCAUGCCAUGAGUGUACCAACCUGGAUGCUGACAUCAUCAGCGCGAGACCACAAUUCAAGUUACCAUUCAGCAGAGCAACGCUGGGUGGCCAGUGUCCGGCCUAGCUGCCACUUAGCACUGACCCUGCCCUCAUCAGCAUAGCUUUAUAAUGAUGAAUAGACCUCAUGAGGACUCAGUGUUUGAACAACGGAUUUAAACACUUUAGCACAACAUCUGACAGUUGAUGACAGUUACAGACAUCUUCAUUCACAUUAUUCUUUAUCUCUUUCAUGUACAUCCCCUUUAUUUAUUAAUUUCUUAAUGUAAUCAACAUUCAUUUACUUUUCAUGUUAUAUUACUGUGAUUAACCAUUGUUAAUGUUAUUUUUAUGUUGUGUUGUGUGUUGUAAUCUCAAAGAUUUUUACAUCACAAGAUGAUUUUGGUAAGCAGCAGUUGUAUUUGCUUGGUAACUGUUGUGGAAUGUAUGCUGGUCAGACAAAGACUGAUCAUAAAGAAGAAUGCAACAAAGAUCAUUCAGUAAUUUUUAUUCAGUUAUAUUAUCAUUUUAUCUCAUGCUUUCUGCUAUUUCUGUAUCUGCAUCUCUUGUAAAAACAUAAGCGUUAGCAUGCCAAGGUAUUAACUGCUUUAAAUAUCAAACCAAAACCUGGCACGUCCUGACAGAGAGAGAUAGUGAAAGACUGGAUCUUAAACAUUUGAUUAAUUGACUUUUCACAUGAUGUAUUACACUGAUACAAUUAUCAUUCAGCCAUAAAAUGUACUUUUAAAGACUCUAAAUGGGACACUAUACCAACCAUUCAGUGUAACUGAGGUUUAAAUAAAACUGGUGAACUUCUAGCACAGUGUCAAACUUGCAUCGAGCCAAUCUCAGAUCUAUGCGAGAGACAUAUAUUCAACUGUGCUACAUUUGUACUCCAUAAUUUUCAAUUCAUAUUUCAUGUUACAGGCACAUUGCAAUUAAUCAUGGUCAGGUCAUUUCAUGGACAUUUUAUUCC
ensembl:lncRNA